UACAGAGGGGCAAGCGUUGUUCGGAAUUACUGGGCGUAAAGGGCGCGUAGGCGGCCUUCUAAGUCGAACGUGAAAUCCCCGGGCUCAACCCGGGAACUGCGUCCGAUACUGGAAGGCUUGAAUCCGGGAGAGGGAUGCGGAAUUCCAGGUGUAGCGGUGAAAUGCGUAGAUAUCUGGAGGAACACCGGUGGCGAAGGCGGCAGUCCUGGACCGGCAUUGACGCUGAGGCGCGAAAGCCAGGGAGCAAAGCGGG
rnacentral:rRNA from 1 species